GAUGAACGCUGGCGGCGUGCUUAACACAUGCAAGUCGAACGAAGCCCUAUAUUUAAUUUCCUUCGGGACUGAUUAUUUUGUGACUGAGUGGCGGACGGGUGAGUAACGCGUGGGUAACGUGGCUUGUACAGGGGGAUAACAGUCGGAAACCGCUGCUAAUCCCGCAUAAGAGCCCGGCAUCGCAUGGUGCAUUGUGGAAAACUCCGGUGGAAUAGGAUGGACCCGCGUUGGAUUAGCAAGUCGGUGAGGGAACGGGCCACCAAGGCGAGGUUCCAUAGACGACCUGUGAGAGUGGGCCGCCACACCGGGACUGAGACACAGCCCAAACUCCUACGGGAUGCAGCAGUGGGGAAUAUAGCAAAAUGGGCGAAAGGCUGAAGCAGCGACGCCGGGUGAGCGAAGAAGUAUUGCGGUAUGUAAAGCUCUAUCAGCAGGGAAGAUAAUGACGGUACCUGACGAAGAAGCACCGGCUAAAUACGUG
rnacentral:rRNA from 1 species